CCCACUGCCUGGAGGUGCCUGGACUAGGUCACAAAGGGGAAAGGCUCUGGAUGGAACAAGGGAGUGCAAAAAGCACCAGAGAGGUUUCGUGGGUGGCUGAGGCCAGCAAGGGAUGCGCAUGUGAUCUUGUUCAGGCCAGGGAAAUAUGAGGAGUUGUCUUCUGGGAAUGCUGGACCCAAUUUCUUUGGUCAUGACAGAGAUUCAGGAAGAGCUCUGCCAAACAGGAUCACCACAGCUACCUUGCCUCCAUCGGGAUGUGGAGGCCACCACACAGAAGAAGAAGAGUGAAGGGCACUGCAGGAACUGUGUCUGGGAGUGCUCGAAGUGAUAAAGGGAGCAUAGACCUGAAGUUAGAAGGACCAGGUUUCAUGGGAGCCUCUGAGGUUAUUAGCCCCAGGCGGUGGGGAAAGUCACCCGACCUCUUCGAGACUUUUUUCACUUGCUGUGUGAUACAGUAAGUAAUAUUGCAGCCUGCUUGACAAGGUGGUUGUUGGCAUCAAAAUUUGAUGUUUGAAAAUAGUUUGCUCUCAAAAAAUCUUCCAAGUGGGAUUCAUUAUUAUUUUCACCGUCAUCAUUAUUAUUGUAUUCUUUAGGGGUCCCAGCAAAGUACAUUAUUUAUCUCAGGAAAUACCAUGUUCUAGAAAAUACCGAUUUUAGAAAAGAUGAUACACUGAUUGAAAUACUACGGGAGAGGUUUAGCUUAACGAACUUACAGGAGUUAUA